rnacentral:rRNA from 1 species
CCUACGGGAGGCAGCAGUGGGGAAUAUUGCACAAUGGGCGAAACCCUGAUCCAGCGACGUAGCGUGAGUGAAGACGUACCUAUGUAUUGUAAGCUGUUUCUGUAGGGGAGUAAAUUACGGUACCUGACUAAUUAGCUCCGGCUAACUACGUGCCAGCAGCCGCGGUAAUACGGAGGGGGCGAGCGUUAUCCGGAUUGACUGGGUGUAAAGGGAGCGUAGUCGGCUCGGCAAGUCUGACGUGAAAGGCAGGGGCUUAACCACUGAACUGCUUUGGAAACUGGCAUGCUAGAGUGCUGGGGAGGUAAGUGGAAUUCGUGGUGUAGCGGUGAAAUGCGUAGAUAUUAGGAAGAACACCAGUGGCGAAGGCAGCAUACUGGAGCGCAACUGACGUUGAGGCUCGAAAGCGUGGGGAGCAAACAGGAUUAGAUACCCGAGUAGUC